rnacentral:rRNA from 1 species
UACGUAGGGUGCGAGCGUUAAUCGGAAUUACUGGGCGUAAAGCGUGCGCAGGCGGUUCGUUAAGUUCGUUGUGAAAGCCCCGGGCUCAACCUGGGAAUGGCAAUGGAAACUGGCGGGCUGGAGUGCGGCAGAGGGGGGUGGAAUUCCGCGUGUAGCAGUGAAAUGCGCAGAUAUCAGGAGGAACACCGGUGGCGAAGGCGGGUCUCUGGGCCGAUACUGACGCUGAGGAGCGAAAGCGUGGGGAGCGAACAGG